GACUUGUAGAGUCGUGAGGGUUCAGGUCCCGAUCCCC
rnacentral:tRNA from 1 species